UGGGGAAUCUUGGACAAUGGGGGCAACCCUGAUCCAGCCAUGCCGCGUGAGUGAUGAAGGCCUUAGGGUCGUAAAGCUCUUUCGCCUGUGAAGAUAAUGACGGUAGCAGGUAAAGAAACCCCGGCUAACUCCGUGCCAGCAGCCGCGGUAAUACGGAGGGGGUUAGCGUUGUUCGGAAUUACUGGGCGUAAAGCGCACGUAGGCGGACCAGAAAGUUGGGGGUGAAAUCCCGGGGGCUCAACCCCGGAACUGCCUCCAAAACUAUUGGUCUAGAGUUCGAGAGAGGUGAGUGGAAUUCCAAGUGUAGAGGUGAAAUUCGUAGAUAUUUGGAGGAACACCAGUGGCGAAGGCGGCUCACUGGCUCGAUACUGACGCUGAGGUGCGAAAGUGUGGGGAGCAAACAGGAUUAGAUACCCUGGUAGUCCACACCGUAAAACGAUGAAUGCCAGUCGUCGGGUAGCAUGCUAUUCGGUGACACACCUAACGGAUUAAGCAUUCCGCC
rnacentral:rRNA from 1 species